rnacentral:tRNA from 1 species
UCUGUCGUAGUCUUGGUGGUUAGCAUACUCAGCUCUCACCCGAGAGACCCGGGUUCAAGUCCUGGCGACAGAA